UCCGUAGGUGAACCUGCGGAAGGAUCAUUAGUGAACAUAGGACGUCCAACUUAACUUGGAGUCCGAACUCUCACUUUCUAACCCUGUGCAUUUGUUUGGGAUAGUAACUCUCGCAAGAGAGCGAACUCCUAUUCACUUAUAAACACAAAGUCUAUGAAUGUAUUUAAUUUUAUAACAAAAUAAAACUUUCAACAACGGAUCUCUUGGCUCUCGCAUCGAUGAAGAACGCAGCGAAAUGCGAUAAGUAAUGUGAAUUGCAGAAUUCAGUGAAUCAUCGAAUCUUUGAACGCACCUUGCGCUCCAUGGUAUUCCGUGGAGCAUGCCUGUUUGAGUGUCAUGAAUACUUCAACCCUCCUCUUUCUUAAUGAUUGAAGAGGUGUUUGGAUUCUGAGCGCUGCUGGCCUUACGGUCUAGCUCGUUCGUAAUGCAUUAGCAUCCGCAAUCGAACUUCGGAUUGACUUGGCGUAAUAGACUAUUCGCUGAGGAAUUCUAAUCUUCGGAUUAGAGCCGGGUUAGGUUAAAGGAAGCUUCUAAUCAGAAUGUCUACAUUUUAAGAUUAGAUCUCAAAUCAGGUAGGACUACCCGCUGAACUUAAGCAUAUCAAUAAGCGGAGGA
rnacentral:rRNA from 3 species